UACAGAGGGUGCAAGCGUUGUUCGGAAUUAUUGGGCGUAAAGGGCGCGUAGGCGGCGCGACAAGUCACCUGUGAAAUCUCCGAGCUUAACUCGGAGCCUGCAGGCGAAACUGUCGUGCUGGAGUAUGGGAGAGGUGCGUGGAAUUCCCGGUGUAGCGGUGAAAUGCGCAGAUAUCAGGAGGAACACCAAUGGCGAAGGCAGCUCGCUGGGACGGUACUGACGCUGAGACGCGAAAGCGUGGGGAGCAAACAG
rnacentral:rRNA from 1 species